rnacentral:rRNA from 1 species
GACGAGGGGUCCUAGCGUUGUUCGGAAUUAUUGGGCGUAAAGCGCAUGUAGGUGGCUUUGUAAGUCGGAAGUGAAAGCCCGGGGCUCAACCCCGGAAGUGCUUUCGAAACUGCAAAACUUGAGUACGGGAGAGGGCAGUGGAAUUCCUGGUGUAGUGGUGAAAUACGUAGAUAUCAGGAGGAACAUCGGUGGCGAAGGCGGCUGCCUGGCCCAGUACUGACACUCAGAUGCGAAAGCGUGGGGAUCAAAC